rnacentral:rRNA from 1 species
GAUGAACGCUGGCGGCGUGCCUAAUACAUGCAAGUCGAGCGAACGGACGUGAAGCUUGCUCCUGUGAUGUUAGCGGCGGACGGGUGAGUAAAACGUGGAUAACCUACUUAUAAGACUGGGUUUACUUCGGGAAAACGUAGCUAAUACCGGAUAAUAUUUUGAACCGCAUGGUUCAAAAGUAAAUUAUGGUCUUGCUGUCACUUAUAGAUGGAUCUGCGCUGCCUUAGCUAGUUGGUAAGGUAAAGGCUUACCAAGGCGACGAUGCAUAGCGGACCUGAGAGGGUGGAUGAGCAGACUGGAAGUGAGACAGGGUGCAGACACCGGCGGGGGGACACGGUCGAGAAUCUUCCGCGAUGGACGAGAGGGGGACGGAGCAAAACCGCGUGAGUGAUGAAGGAGUGCGGAUCGUAAAACGAUGAUGGUAGGGGUAAAGAAAAGUGCAAGUAAAUGUGCAGAUCAUGACGGUACCUAAUCAGAAAGCUACGGCUAACUACGUG